CCGCCAUCUUUCUCUGCAAAAUUCUCAAGCUUCCACUGCACUUCGUUACUCUCUCCCUCUUCAGGCUUUCCUCUAGGGUUUUCGGGCUCCACCCUCCACCACCAGCUCUCCAUUUCCGUUCGCAUUUGCCGCCACCGUCGCUUCCGUACGCUCCCUCGCGGCUUGCCCCAGUAGCUGGUGGCUACUUUUUCGGCUGCUCCCGGAGCUUUUUCAGCUAUGGAGACCGACGAAGGGUCGCGGCACGUGCUUCCCUUUCAGCUUCAGUUUGACAAGCCGCUGGCUUCUCAGGUGAAGAUGGCGGAGUGGAAUCCAGAGAAGGAUUUGCUGGCGAUGGUCACGGAGGACUCGAAGGUGGUGCUUCAUCGCUUUCAAUUGGCGGAGGCUGUGGACAAUCUCUCCUUGCUAGUAGAGUGCAGCUUGUGUUUUGGUUGCAAGAAAGCGGGCCCUAGUCUACAUACUGGAUGACGAUGAAGAUGAAAUCUCUGAUUCAGAAUGAACGUCUGUUCGUGAAUUUUUGGUGGUAAUGCUCAUGUUGCUCGUGGGUGGACCUCUAAUACUCGAAGCUGCAGGAGGCAUCAGAGUGAGAAGCAAUGCGGGGGCUUUCCGAUUGAAGCUCUUCGGCUCCACCCUUUUCGAAGAGUUUUAAUUUAUGCCUACCAUGAACCUUUUCCGCUAGGCGGGCAUUCAUCGAAGAGAAAAUGUGGAGUAAAAGCUAACUAUUUAUCUAUUUAGUUAGAUGGAAUCGGCUGAAAUAUACUGACCCAUGGCUUCUAUCUAGGGGGUUAACUGUCUUCAUUGUAUUUCUGCAAGCUUUGAUAGCUCUUUGAUAGUGCCCAGCUUAUGCUUCAUGCGUUAUUGUUUAUUAUUUCCAUAUAUAAGAUAACCAAAUGUCUGCUUUGGAUUGUUUAUACUUUGGUUGGAUGGUUUACAUGGUGUAAUUGACCGAUACACUUCACAUA